rnacentral:rRNA from 1 species
AUUGAACGCUGGCGGCAUGCUUUACACAUGCAAGUCGAACGGUAACAGGCCGCAAGGUGCUGACGAGUGGCGAACGGGUGAGUAAUGCAUCGGAACGUGCCCAGUCGUGGGGGAUAACGCAGCGAAAGCUGCGCUAAUACCGCAUACGAUCUAUGGAUGAAAGCGGGGGACCGUAAGGCCUGGCGCGAUUGGAGCGGCCGAUGUCAGAUUAGGUAGUUGGGGGGGUAAAGGCUCACCAAGCCAACGAUCUGUAGCUGGUCUGAGAGGACGACCAGCCACACUGGGACUGAGACACGGCCCAGACUCCUACGGGAGGCAGCAGUGGGGAAUUUUGGACAAUGGGCGCAAGCCUGAUCCAGCAAUGCCGCGUGCAGGAAGAAGGCCUUCGGGUUGUAAACUGCUUUUGUACGGAACGAAACGGUCUGGGUUAAUACCUCGGGCUAAUGACGGUACCGUAAGAAUAAGCACCGGCUAACUACGUGCCAGCCGCCGCAGUAAAAC